rnacentral:tRNA from 1 species
AGGGGAAUAGCUCAGCUGGUAGAGCACUGGUCUCCAAAACCAGGUGUCGUGGGUUCAAGUCCUGCUUCCCCUGCCA